AACGAACGCUGGCGGCAUGCCUAACACAUGCAAGUCGAACGAGACCUUCGGGUCUAGUGGCGCACGGGUGCGUAACGCGUGGGAACCUGCCUUUAGGUUCGGAAUAACUCCCCGAAAGGGGUGCUAAUACCGGAUAAUGUCUUCGGACCAAAGAUUUAUCGCCUUUGGAUGGGCCCGCGUUGGAUUAGCUAGUUGGUAGGGUAAAAGCCUACCAAGGCGACGAUCCAUAGCUGGUCUGAGAGGAUGAUCAGCCACACUGGGACUGAGACACGGCCCAGACUCCUACGGGAGGCAGCAGUGGGGAAUAUUGGACAAUGGGCGAAAGCCUGAUCCAGCAAUGCCGCGUGAGUGAUGAAGGCCUUAGGGUUGUAAAGCUCUUUUACCCGGGAUGAUAAUGACAGUACCGGGAGAAUAAGCGCCGGCUAACUCCGUG
rnacentral:rRNA from 1 species